AUUGAACGCUGGCGGCAUGCCUUACACAUGCAAGUCGAACGGCAGCAUGGAGAGUUUGCUCUCUGAUGGCGAGUGGCGAACGGGUGAGUAAUGCAUCGGAACGUACCGUGUAAUGGGGGAUAACGUAGCGAAAGUUACGCUAAUACCGCAUACGACCUGAGGGUGAAAGCAGGGGAUCGCAAGACCUUGCGUUAUACGAGCGGCCGAUGUCAGAUUAGCUAGUUGGUGAGGUAAAGGCUCACCAAGGCGACGAUCUGUAGCGGGUCUGAGAGGAUGAUCGGCGACACUGAGACUGAGACACGGCCCAGAAUCCUACGGGAGGCAUCAGUGGGGAAUUUUGGACAAUGGGGGAAACCCUGAUCCAGCCAUGCCGCGUGGGUGAAGAAGGCCUUCGGGUUGUAAAGCUCUUUCGGCCGGGAAGAAAUCGCACAGGCUAAUACUCUGUGUGGAUGACGGUACCGGCAUAAGAAGCACCGGCUAACUACGUGCCAGCCGCCGCCGUAA
rnacentral:rRNA from 1 species